rnacentral:lncRNA from 1 species
UGGGUUGUGUCCCCUUCGCUUCCUCUCACCCUCGCUCCCCCGCGGAGCCAAGGAGCCAGCAAUUGUGCAAGAGGAGCCCGGCGCACAGGGCGCGUAUCACGGAGCGCAUGGUACCAGCCGCCGGCUCCGGUGAUUGAUUAUCAGUAACCGAUGGCCUCGCGCUACCACGUCGGCUUUCCCAGCAGAGCCAGCAAGCCGAACGCCUCCAGAGCGGCCGGGACGGAGGAGCGGCUCUGGGGAAGACGCCGAGGCUGCGCCCGAUCUGAACGAAGCUGCCUCCAGCCACAUGAAGUCAGUAGGGCUGUUCUGAGGGGCCCCGAGAUUUGAUGACUGUUUUUUAGGUUGCGGAACCUACUCCGAGAGAGCAAACACUUUGGACGAAGUGAUUCAUAUUGAUAGAAAGAUACAUUUGAUGGGUGGUGGCUUUUUUCAUUCUCAACAGAAAACAAAGAAAUAAAUUAAGUCUUCCCCUGACCCAGACUGUACUGUGAAACUUU